rnacentral:rRNA from 1 species
CAUACCUGAAUUCUGAGUGGACUGGAGUGGCCUUAUUUGGUAGCGUCAUUUUUCUU